GAUCUACCAAUCAUUAGCCAGCAAUAGGUGGGAUAGAAGACUUGGCAUCCAAUUGUAACUUUAUAGAUCUCCUACCGUUAUUCAAAUUGAAUCUUGAAGAUUGCCUCCAUCAUCUUAAAAAAGUCACACCUGCUACAUCUGCCAAUAAAAUAGCUGUAAAAUCUGACAUAUGAUGGGUAGAAGAUUGGAGAUAAAUUUCACUCAGCAUUGCCUUAUUAGCCAUAUAAUCUACAACAUAAUUAGCUUGAUGAUAAAUAUGUUUGACAACAAAAACUUGACACACCCUCCUCCAUGCC
rnacentral:lncRNA from 1 species